UCCCUGGUGGCUCAGAUGGUAAAGCAUCUACCUAUAGUGUGGGAGACCCGGGUUCAAACCCUGGGUUGGGAA
rnacentral:tRNA from 1 species